UACGUAGGGUGCGAGCGUUAAUCGGAAUUACUGGGCGUAAAGCGUGCGCAGGCGGUUUUGCGUGUCCGAUGUGAAAGCCCCGGGCUUAACCUGGGAAUGGCAUUGGAAACUGGCUGGCUGGAGUGUGGCAGAGGGGGGUGGAAUUCCACGUGUAGCAGUGAAAUGCGUAGAGAUGCGGAGGAACACCGAUGGCGAAGGCAGCCCCCUGGGCUGACACUGACGCUCAGGCACGAAAGCGUGGGGAGCAAACAGG
rnacentral:rRNA from 1 species